GAAGGUGGGGAUGACGUCAAAUCAUCAUGCCCUUAUGACCUGGGCUACACACGUGCGUACAAUGGGCGGUACAAAGGGUCGCGAACCCGCGAGGGGAGCCAACCCCAAAAAGCCGACUCUCAGUUCGGAUUGCAGGCUGCAACUCGCCUGCAUGGAGCCGGAAUCGCUAGUAAUCGCGGAUCAGCAUGCCGCGGUGAAUACGUUCCCGGGCCUU
rnacentral:rRNA from 1 species